UACAGAGGUCCCAAGCGUUGUUCGGAUUCACUGGGCGUAAAGGGUGCGUAGGUGGUGAAGUAAGUCGGAUGGGAAAUCUCGGAGCUCAACUCCGAAACUGCAUUGGAAACUACUUUGCUCGAGGGUUGGAGGGGGGACUGGAAUUCUCGGUGUAGCAGUGAAAUGCGUAGAUAUCGAGAGGAACACCAGUGGCGAAGGCGAGUCCCUGGACAACUCCUGACACUGAGGCACGAAAGCUAGGGGAGCAAACAGG
rnacentral:rRNA from 1 species